rnacentral:rRNA from 1 species
CCACGUGUUUAACGGCCGCGGUAUUUUGACCGUGCAAAGGUAGCGCAAUCACUUGUCUUUUAAAUGAAGACCCGUAUGAAAGGCAAGACGAGGGCUUAACUGUCUCCCUCCCCUAGUCAAUGAAAUUGAUCUCCCCGUGCAGAAGCGGGGAUGCCAACAUAAGACGAGAAGACCCUAUGGAGCUUUAGAUGUACAGGUAACCCGUGCCCCUGUCCCCCACCUUAAAGGGCCCCACCCCGCCGGUUCUUAUCUGGAUAUCUUCGGUUGGGGCGACCGCGGGGUAAACAAAAACCCCCGUCAGGAUUGGCUUACCGCCCUACAGACAAGAGACUCAACUCUAAGCGCCAAAAUUUUUGACCCGUGAUCCGGCAUAGCCGAUUAACGAACCGAGUUACCCUAGGGAUAACAGCGCAAUCCCCUCUAAGAGUCCAUAUCGACGAGGGGGUUUACGACCUCGAUGUUGGAUCAGGGUACCUAAUGGUGAAGCCGCUAUUAAGGG